rnacentral:tRNA from 1 species
GAGGGUAUAGCUCAGUGUUAGAGUGCAUGCCUAGCAUGCAUGAGGUUCUGGGUUCAAUCCCCAGUACUGCCA